rnacentral:rRNA from 1 species
UACAGAGGUCUCAAGCGUUGUUCGGAAUUACUGGGCGUAAAGGGUGCGUAGGCCGCACGGGCAGUCAAAUGUGAAAUUCUGGGGCUCAACCUCAGAAUUGCGCUUGAUACUUCCGUGCUCGAACCUUGGAGAGGAGUCUGGAAUUCUCGGUGUAGCAGUGAAAUGCGUGGAUAUCGAGAAGAACACUAAGGGCGAAGGCAAGACUCUAGACAAGUGUUGACGCUGAUGCACGAAGGCUAGGGUAGCGAACGGGAUUAGAUACCCCCGUAGUCC